rnacentral:lncRNA from 1 species
UGGGUGAUUUUAACAUCCAUAUAGAUGCUAAAAAUGACAGCCUCAACAUUGCAUUUAAUCUCUUAUUAGACUCAAUUGGCUUCUCACACAUGUAUAUAUAUACACUGCUUUUUAUUUUAUUUUAUUUUAUUUUAUUUUAUUUUAUUCUAUUUAUUUUUUCCACCUAUUCUAUUAAACAUUCACACCAUUCUCUCACUCAUACAAGCAGCAAGCAGAUCUUCAUUGCAUACGCUUAUGUUCUCAGCCAGGUUUAUUCAAUAUCUCUAUGCAUUAAACUUCAUGAGCUUGUCUUUGUAAAGUCAGUGCAUUUUCUGUUUGUGUGUGUUAUUUUUGCAUCUAUGGCUUCGCAGUCUUUCAAACUCCUUCCCAAUUCUCCAGUUAAGCAGUCAGUUUUCUCUUUCCCGAAUUUACUAGCCCCAACUUUAAUUUCCCACCUAGAAUAACCGCCCUCCUGGUCUUCAGCCAGGUGUUAGGGCUUGCUUUUCAGGUUUCUGGACACAUCAUCCUGUGACCAAUUCAACCAGAAACUUGCCUUAACAUAUCCAUUGAUGUUAACCUAGAAUUUCCUUCCGACUGGUGCCGUGGAGAACUGGUCCGGGUCUGCUUUGCUCCUAAAAGUAACAAACUAAGACAUUUUCAUUAUUAUCACGAGUGGUCAAACGACCCACUUUUCUCUCUCUCCUGUCACAAAUACCAAUUAUGUCAUGUUUAUAUCAUGAAUAUGAAUGUAAGCAUUUUACUCGUUGCAUUUUCAUGUUAAUUGAGUGUAAGCUGCUUUCUUCGUUGCAUUUUUUAUGUAUUCAUGUUAAUGUACACUACGUGUAAGCUGUUUCUUCAUUGCAUCCUAUAUAUUCAUAUUUAACUUAUGCCUCUUUUCACUGAGCUUUAAGUUCAAACUAUCUCACUUCUAAUUCAUUUCAAAAAUAAUCUCACAUGUAACAAUUUGUGCAUGUGUGUUUUCUAUUCAUUAAGGUAGUGACAAUUAUUUUCUCUCAUUAUUCUUACCUUUUCUAAUGUUUACCUCUUUGUUAUGCUGUGUUGGACAUCCCUAAACCUUCAUGAGUUCAGGUUGCAAUUUUUCCGAUCCAAUUAUCCUAUAAUCUUACAGUCAAACUCGUCCAGCUUCAUCUCUCACUGGUCCCUCUCUGCACAAUGUCCUGUUCGGGCUUCAAAGCUCCAGCAAACACAGUCUCUUUCUUCUCUGAUUUGAUCUUUCCGUAUUCUUCUUCGAAGUUAAGUUCCCGUCCGGCUUUUCAGUCUUCUCUUCCAAAAUUACUCCAAGCAUGGCAAAUAUGACACUCAAUGUCCAGUGCUCUUCCACAAUUCUUUAUCCCACUGUUCAACUGUCCAGCCUGUAUUUUCACAGUACAUGUUGCAUUACUCUUACAUGCUGCUGCUGGUCGUCAGUCGUCAUCAGUGUUAAUGGAUCAGUGGCACUGUCAUUUGCCUGCUGUAUUCAAGUCCACGAUGUUCUGUCGGUCUCCAUCAGGAGGUUGACUUGUCCUUUGAACUUCUUCUCAGUUUAGGGACAAAGUGACCGAUGAAGCUGCACAAUUUCGAGCCAAAGACUGGCUUAUUCUCCCAAUUCUGUUAAUCUAUUGUUCUGCUGCUGCACUCAAGGAUCAGUGUUGAGAGAGUCCACCUGUAUUGGCACACUAAAGCAUACAAUUAGUAUUAUACUCAUUUCUUUUCUUAAAGGCUUCAUUUGCUUUAUGUGUCUAGAGGUAACUCAUCUAUCGCUCUGUGUUCUUCCUUUGCACAGUCAGUUCCCAUAUAUGGGCAUGCAAAGUUCCUGUUCACAGUUUCCUGUCGCACAGCCGCUGUACACAGAGUCAUACUUCCUGUUCUCGGCAGAGUCUGUCUCUUUUUGUAUUUCUAGUCUAAAACCCUCUUUAAUUCUACUAAAUCUUGAUCUAAAAAACAAUACACCUUCAUUUUCACUCACACACAUUUAAACAGAGCUCUUUCACACAUCCAAACAAUUAACCAAGUGUAUAUACUUAUGUGUUUUUGAACUGAGAGAAAAGAAACUCACCCUCUCAUAUCAUCACUCAUGCAUUUCUUGAAUUAAAAGCACUUUCAAACUUUAGAACAUCCUACUUUACAUCACAAAAGAAAUAUCCUUUUCAUACCAUUGUUUCAUACACACUUUUAAAGGUUCUAACCUCUUUCAGACGCCAUGAAUCGUCUCACACACACUGCCUUUUCUCUCACUCAGACAACUCACGCAGAGUCACUCAAAUCAAAUACUGACAGCAUUCACACAGUUAAAAUCACACGAAAUACGCUUCCAUACGAGUAUUUUAGACAUGCCUUCCAUGAUCAGAAAGAGCAAGUCAAAAGAAAAAGAAAAACUGAAACCUCUCAUCAUCCUCACGGCUUCUCACCACACACACCUAACUGAAAAAUAAAACACACCAGCAUUUAGGGCUCAAGAUAUAUACAUCUAUCAAAAUUCAGUCAUUACCAUACAUCCACACUAAUGUAUUAUUAAUUACUGUAUUUAUACUCUCGUAAUAAGCAACACCAACCUCUUAUAUACAGGCAUUCAGCAGUUUUUUUUUUUAAACAAUAGUUAAAAGGCUCCGUACACUCGAAACCGAAACCACCCUCUCUUCGCGUCACCGCUGCUCAUUUGCAUUUACACACACCAUCAGUGCACAUCCGGCUGUGCACUGACACACAGAGACUGAUCUCAUACAUAGAUCUCAUAUUAUUAUAUUUACACAAGACGUCUUAUUAAUUACCACUGCACAGAUUUAGGCCUUUAAAACCUAUAUAAUUUUGAUAAAUUUAACAUAACCGACUCGAACGGGCAAACUUCAGGUUUUUUGCGAUCAAUUCACCAGACCAGACUCGAACUGCUCUGUCCAGAUUUUCUAGCCCUAACUUAAUUUACCAGUAGCCAAAAAAGCGCAAGAAUAGGGGACUUGAACCCCUAGCAAUUUCGGAGUUUCCCAACUUCUCCCCCGCUGUCGACGGUACUAUCCCUACACUUCAGGGUAGGUCAUAGGUCAGCGUCCUGCCUAUGCGCAAGCGUUACCAAGGAGAAAAAUGCGCUUCUUAACAGACGCCGCUGUCGUUCUAGAAGAAUUUAGAGUAAUUUGAAACAACAAUCCUACCCAAAACAGGAUUAAGAUUGAGGCAGAUCUACCUUUGUGGACAUAGGGGACUCGAACCCACAAAAUGACCAUCACAAGAUAGACCCAAUGUCCAGCGGGACUUGAACCCACAAAAAUGACCAAAUUUCCCUACUUUCUACGUGAGACUUGAACUCACUUUAACUCUUUUCCUUUUCUUUGGGACUUGAACCCAGUACUUUUACUUAUCACUUAUCAUCAUCAUCAUCAUUCAUAUCAUUACUUCAACCGGUAAACCUCAUAAAAAUUUCAGCAAACUCAAAACAGACAUUCACCAGUAAUUUUCAGUGAGUAGACUUCAAUUUUGUCAUAUCCAAUUCUAGCACAUUUUGGAAAUUCAACAGGUAUGUGCCUUACCUCUGUUUAAGCCGGCUUGUCUCUCACUUCAGACCACUGACUCGUAUCUGCCCAUCUAAUCACCACGGACCCUGGAUCUCUCCAUCUACACCAAAAUUCCCUCUUUCCGAACUGAACUUACAACAAUUACACAAGGUUUUAUAUGGAUACAACAACAAAGCCCCCCUCUUUUGCAAAACAUACAAAGUACAGCUUACGUCACUUAAACCACAAAAUGUUCCGUGAACUUUAACAUAGUUUGAAGAACAUUACGUCUCAUCUCCAUCCCGGUGUUGCCCCAGGUACGCAUCCUUAUCUCUUCAAAACAUCAGGCGCACUUCCCGUAAGCAUCUGACAAUAUGCGGCAGAACUUGCACUUGCAGCCAAAAAUACAUCUUGACUUUUUACCUACUCUAGUCGAUCUACUAUGGUGUGUACGUGUGUGCGUGAGUGUGUGUGUGCCUGCUGUGUAGGCUAUGUCUGUGUCAUGACCUCAGCUCACCUCACACCUCUCGUCUUAGCCAGACAGAAGGCCUGUGCUCGUGCACAGCUGAACUCUGUGUGAUUUCUAGGCUAAAUGUCACACUCAAACCAUGAAGGAAACUUACUCAACCUGAACAUAAAUGAACUUAAGACUUACUCAAAAAGAUAUAAGUAAUAAAUGAUACAAACUUAACUCUUAGCUCUAAAGAAUAUAAGGAUAUAACUCCAGGCACCUGUUCUGUAAGCAGACAUGAAAUGGUAAUGAUGAUUAUAAAAAUAGCAGCAAAUAAUAGCAGUAAAAUAUUUCUAUUCCUGACAACUCUCAGGUUGGUAAUAAAUGUAUUACAUGUAUAAGAACAAGUGUCAUGUUAACAAAUGAUAGCCGUACAGUAACUUUUAUGCUUUUUGUAGCUGCUAGCUAAAAACACUAAUUUAGCUUAGUUUGCCCUGGAUUCAGCUUUGACAAACAAAUAUGAUCGCCUGUUUCUAGUAGAAAUCCAAAGUUGUCAUCUUGUACCGUCUCAGAGCCCUGUAUGCUUGCAGAGACCCCUACAGUAGGGAAACAUGCAAAACGGUGUCCAAACCUUUUUAUUUUAGCUUUAUUUAUGUCUUACACAGCAUCCCAACUCUUUAGCUAACUUAAUAACUUUAGCUAAAGAGAAUAGUUAGUCUAAUUCAUUAGUGCAGGAUUACUAGAUGACCUCUGUUUGAAGUAAUAUA